rnacentral:lncRNA from 1 species
CAUUUGUCCAGCUUUUAGGGUGUUUUUUCUAUUUGGAAUGAUUAAAAGCAUCACAGGGCUACUUGUGCCUGCUAGACAGACUGAAACUGGAUUCUCGAGUUCUCUGCAGGAUUAACUCACGUGCCCAGCGAGGGCACUGGGAAACACAGUGGCUUCCUGCUCACCCGUCCUGUCCCCAAGCAGCCUCUCUAUAUGGCUAGGCUAGGACAAAAAAUGUGCCAGUUGAAAACAGCAUGGUGGUCUCAAGGUAGUCUAGCUGUUGUGUCGUCUCAGGGUUCUCUGAAGAAGGCACAUCCAAAGA